AUUGAACGCUGGCGGCAGGCUUAACACAUGCAAGUCGAGCGGGGGAAGGUAGCUUGCUACCGGACCUAGCGGCGGACGGGUGAGUAAUGCUUAGGAAUCUGCCUAUUAGUGGGGGACAACAUCUCGAAAGGGAUGCUAAUACCGCAUACGUCCUACGGGAGAAAGCAGGGGAUCUUCGGACCUUGCGCUAAUAGAUGAGCCUAAGUCGGAUUAGCUAGUUGGUGGGGUAAAGGCCUACCAAGGCGACGAUCUGUAGCGGGUCCGAGAGGAUGAUCCGCCACACUGGGACUGAGACACGGCCCAGACUCCUACGGGAGGCAGCAGUGGGGAAUAUUGGACAAUGGGGGGAACCCUGAUCCAGCCAUGCCGCGUGUGUGAAGAAGGCCUUAUGGUUGUAAAGCACUUUAAGCGAGGAGGGGGCUACUUUAGUUAAUACCUAGAGAUAGUGGACGUUACUCGCAGAAUAAGCACCGGCUAACUCUGUGCCAGCCGCCGCAGUAA
rnacentral:rRNA from 1 species